rnacentral:rRNA from 1 species
GAUGAACGCUGGCGGCGUGCCUAACACAUGCAAGUCGAGCGAAGCGCUUAAAUUAGAUUUCUUCGGAAUGACGAUUUUUGUGACUGAGCGGCGGACGGGUGAGUAACGCGUGGGUAACCUGCCUCAUACAGGGGGAUAACAGUUAGAAAUGACUGCUAAUACCGCAUAAGACCCCAGCUUCGCAUGAAGCGGUGGUAAAAACUCCGGUGGUAUGAGAUGGACCCGCGUCUGAUUAGCUAGUUGGUAAGGUAACGGCUUACCAAGGCGACGAUCAGUAGCCGACCUGGGAGGGUGACCCGCUACAAUGGGACUGAGACACGGCCCAGACUCCUACGGGAGGCAGCAGUGGGGAAUAUUGCACAAUGGAGGAAACCCUGAUGAAGCGACGCCGCGUGAAGGAUGAAGUAUUUCGGUAUGUAAACUUCUAUCAGCAGGGAAGAAAGUGACGGUACCUGACUAAGAAGCCCCGGCUAACUACGUG